rnacentral:rRNA from 1 species
UGGGGAAUAUUGGACAAUGGGGGCAACCCUGAUCCAGCCAUGCCGCGUGCGUGAAGAAGGCCUUAGGGUUGUAAAGCGCUUUCACCGGUGAAGAUGAUGACGGUAGCCGGAGAAGAAGCCCCGGCUAACUCCGUGCCAGCAGCCGCGGUAAUACGGAGGGGGCAAGCGUUGUUCGGAAUGACUGGGCGUAAAGGGCGCGUAGGCGGACGUGCAAGUUGGGGGUGAAAGGCCUGGGCUCAACCCAGGAACUGCCCUCAAAACUGUGUGUCUAGAGAUCGGAAGAGGAUGGCGGAAUUCCCAGUGUAGAGGUGAAAUUCGUAGAUAUUGGGAAGAACACCGGUGGCGAAGGCGGCCAUCUGGUCCGAUACUGACGCUGAGGCGCGAAAGCGUGGGGAGCAAACAGGAUUAGAUACCCCCGUAGUCC